rnacentral:rRNA from 1 species
UACCAGCACCCCGAGUGGUCGGGACGAUUAUUGGGCCUAAAGCAUCCGUAGCCGGCCUUACAAGUCCUCCGUUAAAUCCAGCUGCUUAACAGAUGGGCUGCGGAGGAUACUAUAAGACUAGGAGGCAGGAGAGGCAAGCGGUACUCAGUGGGUAGGGGUAAAAUCCGUUGAUCCAUUGAAGACCACCAGUGGCGAAGGCGGCUUGCCAGAAUACGCUCGACGGUGAGGGAUGAAAGCUGGGGGAGCAAACCGG